rnacentral:rRNA from 1 species
UACUCGAGAACUGUAGUAAUUCUAGAGCUAAUACGUGCCUCGAUGCUCUGAUCCGCAAGGUGAGGGGCGCAUUUAUUAGAUCGCAAACCAAACGGCUUCGGUCGUAGGUUGUGAUGACUCUGGAUAAUUUUGUAUGAUCGCAGCUGGCCCUGUUGUCGGCGAUGGAUCCAUCAAAUAUCUGCCCUAUCAACUUUCGAUGGUAGGUGACAUGCCUACCAUGGUUAUGACGGGUAACGGGGAAUCAGGGUUCGAUUCCGGAGAGGGAGCCUGAGAAACGGCUACCACAUCCAAGGAAGGCAGCAGGCGCGCAAAUUACCCACUCUCUGAACGAGGAGGUAGUGAAGACAAAUAUCGAUACAGAACUCAUUAGAGGCUCUGUAAUCGAAAUGAGUGCAUUUUAAAUCCUACAACAAGGAUCUAUUGGAGGGCAAGUCUGGUGCCAGCAGCCGCGGUAACUCCAGCUCCAAUGGCAUAUAUUAAAGUUGCUGCAGUUAAAAAGCUCGUAGUUGGAUCUGGGCCGUGUCGCGAAUGCUAGUUUUGUGGUGAGCCUUGUUUUGUCCCGCUGGCUGGUAUAUUCGGACCGACCUCGUAGCUGUGUCCUUUUGCUUUAUCGGUAAUUGGAUAAUGGUGAAUGUCUGUGAUGGCUCCUUUCGGGGGGCUGUCGCGGUUUAUCAUUAUGUUCCGUUAAUGCUCUUAACUGGGUGUUCGGAGCUCACAGCACGUUUACUUUGAACAAAUUUGAGUGCUCAAA